CCUUGAUGGUGAGGUUUGAAGGACAGUAUGAGUUUAGUGCCUCACAACUGCUGUGUUCUCCCUCUCCCAGCACCUAGAGAAGCUCUCUGCAUCACACCUCUGCUGCCAGGGUGGGGUAGGGGUGGCAUCAGCCAUUCAGGAGUGUAUUUUCUAUUUAUUCAGCACCUCUUUCAGUGAUACGAAGUCAUAACCAGGUACUGUGAGUGUUCACCUGAUUUUUGGUUUGUAUGAAGGUGUUUUUUUCUGUGUAGAUAGUUGUUAACUUGGUGUCUUUGGUGGGGAUGUGGGGAGGGAAAGCAAUCAGUGGAGCUUUGUAUUCUACCAUCUUACUCCACCUCUCCUAUGUAUGUUUUCUUUUGUUGCCCAUGCUUUUGGUAUGAGUGUGGUAAGAUAUGGUGGUUUUAUGGGGAAGAGAUGGACAAGGAGGAAGGGAUAUAGCAUGUCAAAACACCAGGCAAAUUCAAAUUUUACAGUAGUCAUUUUCAUUUCAAUAUGUGCCUUAGUUUCUCUCAUGGGUCAUAGGGAACUGUCCAUUGGUUGCCUCCCUACACAGGGGAGAUCUUCUGCCUCCCGGGGCCUCUUCAGAGCUCUCUCUCUUCCCUUUCUCUCUGUCUCUCUCUGUCUCUCUGUCUCUCUGUCCCUCUCUCUCUCAUUACAUUCCA
rnacentral:lncRNA from 1 species